rnacentral:rRNA from 1 species
AUACCGGCGGCUCGAGUGGUGGCCACUUUUUAUUGGGCUUAAAGCGUUCGUAGCUGGGUUGUUAAGUCCCUUGGGAAAUCCGACAGCUUAACUGUCGGGCGUCUAAGGGAUACUGGCGAUCUUGGAACCGGGAGAGGUGAGGGGUACUUCGGGGGUAGGAGUGAAAUCCUGUAAUCCUCGAGGGACCACCUGUGGCGAAGGCGCCUCACCAGAACGGCUUCGACAGUGAGGGACGAAAGCUGGGGGAGC